rnacentral:lncRNA from 1 species
AAACCCAUGUAUAUAUAUAAUUUAUUUACUGUAGCCCCAAAGGACCCUAAGGUCCUCGGCAACGACGUCAUCAAUUGUGCCAAAACGGCGCCGGAGCGAUCCUCAAACGACGUUAGCAGCGGCCCCAAAACGAUCUUCUGUGAUCUCCGAACGACGCCAAAACGGCGUCAUCUUCUCCAAUCGUUAACGAUGCCGAGAGUGGCGUCGUAAGGAGUGCCAUCAUCGGAACAACAACGCUUUCACAGAAAGAUGUUGUAACAACGUCGUUGGGAAGCCUGCAACAACGCCCAAAACGACGCUUCUCACCGAUGUGAAAUGGUGCCUGAACGGCGUCCCUGGAACGCUUGCAACAAUGGUGCCAAAACGACGCCUUGAAGGCGCCACUUGACUGGGAACGACGUUUGAACUACAUCGCCGAUUGGAAACGACGCCAUAACGACGUCUUGAUUGCUUGAAACGGCGUUAUAGCGGUGCCGUCACGGCCUGCAACGACGUUCCUAUCCCCCCUCUAGGUUUUAUCAUAGGGAUUUAGCGUUCGGAGAUGCCGGUAGUGGUGCCAAACGACACCACAACGUGCAAGGCGGCAUCGCAGCAUCACCGCGGUAAA